rnacentral:lncRNA from 1 species
CAACCAGGAUUACAUAAAACCAGAAAUUAAGAUUGGUCACAGUAAAAGGGAAAACACUUAUGGAUAUGGAGAUGCCACAAAAUUAGAGUAUUUGGGAUCGAAACCAUCACCUCACCUGCCUGGACUCACAAUGAGCAAUACUCUGGGAUCUUUUGAUAUUUGUGGAUUGCAUGUUACUGAAAGCCAAUUUACCUAAUUCUGAAUAAUACCAAUGCUUAUUUCGAGAAAAUUUCAGCCUUGGAACUACACGCAUCGACCUGCUUUCCUCUGACUUCAAUCUGAGAAACACUGUUCUUAAAUAUAAAAGGUAACAGAUCACCCU